rnacentral:rRNA from 1 species
AUUGAACGCUGGCGGCAUGCCUUACACAUGCAAGUCGAACGGCAGCACGGACUUCGGUCUGGUGGCGAGUGGCGAACGGGUGAGUAAUGUAUCGGAACGUACCUUUCAGUGGGGGAUAACGUAGCGAAAGUUACGCUAAUACCGCAUAUUCUGUGAGCAGGAAAGCAGGGGAUCGCAAGACCUUGCGCUGAUUGAGCGGCCGAUAUCAGAUUAGCUAGUUGGUGAGGUAAAGGCUCACCAAGGCGACGAUCUGUAGCGGGUCUGAGAGGAUGAUCCGCCACACUGGAACUGAGACACGGUCCAGACUCCUACGGGAGGCAGCAGUGGGGAAUUUUGGACAAUGGGGGCAACCCUGAUCCAGCCAUGCCGCGUGAGUGAAGAAGGCCUCGGUUGUAAG